rnacentral:rRNA from 1 species
GAUGAACGCUAGCGGCAGGCCUAAUACAUGCAAGUCGGACGGGAUUCAGGAGCUUGCUUCUGAUGAGAGUGGCGCACGGGUGCGUAACACGCAUGUAACCUACCUUUAUCAGGGGGAUAGCCUCCCGCAAGAGAGAUUAACCCCUCAUAAAAACACAGUUCAGCCUUGUGUAACGAUCAAAUAUUUAUAGGAUACUGAUGGGCAUGCGGAACAUUAGCUAGAUGGCGGGGGAACGGCCGACCAUGGCGGCGCAGUUUAAGGGAUCUGAGAGGAGGGCCCCCCACACUGGUACUGCGGCCCGGACCAGACUCCUACGGGAGGCAGCAGUAAGGAAUAUUAGUCGAGGAGCGGUAACCGGAACCAGCCAUGCCGCGUGCAGAAAGACGGGCCUCCGGGUUGUAAACUGCUUUUAUACGGGAAUUAACCCAGAUACGAGUAUCUGGCUGAAUGUACUGUAAGAAUAAGGCUCGGCUAACUACGUG